CUCACAUAUUCACACGCCCAUAAAAUCUCAGUUUCUCUCUGUUUCUUUUUCUCAGAUCUAAUUCUAUAGGUACCGUAUAAUACAUAAAUUUGUAUAUCUUUUUGUUGCAGUGGUCUCAGAUUCGCUUGGUGCAGGUCGGGAACAUUGUUCGCUUAUUACGGCGUCGUUUUCACGUCGACGAGCGAUCCGAAAUUUGUGAAUACAAAUGUCUACCUUAUGCUUGUAAAUGAUGUCGUUGUUUUUGGCGAAAAUCAUGUUCCUGCCUUGCAUCAACUGAAUCGGAGGCCGCGGUGAAUGUUUAUAUGUGACACGCUUAUUGGAUUCCAAUUGAUCGGUGUCCCAGUUUAGCCGGACUAAAUCCUGGACCUCUAGCCCCCGGCCCCUCAGUGACUAGUGAAGGUAAAUCGCAGGUUGUGCCCUUGUUGGUUCCCAGGUUCCCACAUGGUUUUUACUCUUUCUCCAAAGGGACCCUCCUCCAUGGUUAUUACAUCACCAAACUGUUCCAACCCUUCCUCUGGUCAUCGUUUGAAAAAUGCAUUGUUAAAAUCGAUGUAUAAAAAUUUGUCAACUCACAUGACAUCAAAAUUGAUGUAAACUAAGUUGUACAUGUAGCAUGAUUGUUUUGCUUCAUUGGUAUGUGGAUAUUUUGUUCUUUUAUUUGCUUGGACAUGUACGAAAUUAAUUGUCGAAGUUCCGCGAGCAAGUUUCAAAUAGUUGCUACCUAAGCUUUCUUUUUGGUGGGGCUUGUGGAACUAGACUAGAUGGCAUUACAAUUCGUUAGAAAUGUAAAUGAGCAAAUGAUAAUUAGUUAUCCGUAAGAUGGUCACAGAGACAUCUAGUACAGGGCUCUCUAAUCGUGGUAAAGGAUCUGGCAUUUGGCCUGUAUUCGAAAACUUGUAACAUAUAGCAUUUUCAAUGAACUAGUGAAGUUAAACUAUUAGUUUGUGCAUUUUA